AUACGUAGGGGACGAGCGUUGUCCGGAUUUACUGGGUGUAAAGGGCGUGUAGGCGGAGAUGCAAGUCAGGAGUGAAAUCUAGGGGCUCAACCCCUAAACUGCUUUUGAAACUGUAUCCCUUGAGUAUCGGAGAGGCAGGGGGAAGUCCUAUGGUAGCGGUGAAAUGCGUAGAUAUUAGGAGGAACACCAGUGGCGAAGGCGGCCUGCUGGACGACAACUGACGCUGAGGCGCGAAAGCGUGGGGAGCAAACAGGAUUAGAUACCCUGGUAGUCCACGCUGUAAACGAUGAAUACUAGGUGUGGGGGGACUGACCCCCUCCGUGCCGCAGUUAACACAAUAAGUAUUCCACCUGGGGAGUACGAUCGCAAGAUUGAAACUCAAAGGAAUUGACGGGG
rnacentral:rRNA from 1 species